GGUGAAGUAGACAUACUGAUGGUUGAAGUAGACAUACUGAUGGUGAAGUAGACAUACUGAUGGUGAAGUAGACAUACUGAUGGUGAAGUAGACAUACUGAUGGUGAAGUAGCAUACUGAUGGUGAGGUAGACAUACUGAUGGGUGAAGUAGACAUACUGAUGGUGAAGUAGACAUACUGAUGGUGAAGUAGACAUACUGAUGGGUGAAGUAGACAUACUGAUGGUGAAGUAGACAUACUGAUGGUGAAGUAGACAUAGUGAUGGUGAAGUAGACAUAGUGAUGGUGAAGUAGACAUACUGAUGGGUGAAGUAGAAUACUGAUGGUGAGGUAGACAUACUGAUGGUGAAGUAGACAUACUGAUGGUGAAGUAGACAUAUUGAUGGUGAAGUAGCAUACUGAUGGUGAGGUAGACAUACUGAUGGGUGAAGUAGACAUACUGAUGGUGAAGUAGACAUACUGAUGGUGAAGUAGACAUACUGAUGGUGAAGUAGACAUACUGAUGGUGAAGUAGACAUACUGAUGGGUGAAGUAGACAUACUGAUGGUGAAGUAGACAUACUGAUGGUGAAGUAGACAUACUGAUGGUGAAGUAGACAUAGUGAUGGUGAAGUAGACAUACUGAUGGUGAAGUAGCAUACUGAUGGUGAAGUAGACAUACUGAUGGUGAAGUAGACAUACUGAUGGUGAGGUAGACAUACUGAUGGUGAAGUAGCAUACUGAUGGUGAAGUAGCAUACUGAUGGUGAGGUAGACAUACUGAUGGUGAGGUAGACAUACUGAUGGUGAGGUAGACAUACUGAUGGGUGAAGUAGACAUACUGAUGGGUGAAGUAGACAUACUGAUGGUGAGGUAGACAUACUGAUGGUGAGGUAGACAUACUGAUGGGUGAAGUAGACAUACUGAUGGUGAAGUAGACAUACUGAUGGGUGAAGUAGACAUACUGAUGGUGAGGUAGACAUACUGAUGCUGAAGUAGACAUAGUGAUGGUGAGGUAGACAUACUGAUGGGUGAAGUAGACAUACUGAUGGUGAAGUAGACAUACUGAUGGGUGAAGUAGACAUACUGAUGGUGAGGUAGACAUACUGAUGGUGAGGUAGACAUACUGAUGGGUGAAGUAGACAUACUGAUGGUGAAGUAGCAUACUGAUGGGUGAAGUAGACAUACUGAUGGUGAGGUAGACAUACUGAUGCUGAAGUAGACAUAGUGAUGGUGAGGUAGACAUACUGAUGGGUGAAGUAGACAUACUGAUGGUGAAGUAGACAUACUGAUGGGUGAAGUAGACAUACUGAUGGUGAGGUAGACAUACUGAUGGUGAGGUAGACAUACUGAUGGGUGAAGUAGACAUACUGAUGGUGAAGUAGCAUACUGAUGGGUGAAGUAGACAUACUGAUGGUGAGGUAGACAUACUGAUGCUGAAGUAGACAUAGUGAUGGUGAGGUAGACAUACUGAUGGGUGAAGUAGACAUACUGAUGGUGAAGUAGACAUACUGAUGGGUGAAGUAGACAUACUGAUGGUGAGGUAGACAUACUGAUGGUGAGGUAGACAUACUGAUGGGUGAAGUAGACAUACUGAUGGUGAAGUAGCAUACUGAUGGGUGAAGUAGACAUACUGAUGGUGAGGUAGACAUACUGAUGCUGAAGUAGACAUGGUGAUGGUGAGGUAGACAUAGUAAUGGUGAAGUAGACAUACUGAUGGUUGAAGUAGACAUACUGAUGGUGAAGUAGACAUACUGAUGGUGAAGUAGACAUACUGAUGGUUGAAGUAGACAUACUGAUGGUGAAGUAGACAUACUGAUGGUGAAGUAGACAUACUGAUGGGUGAAGUAGACAUACUAUAAUUGUUACGACUGAAAGUACUAUAUUUAGCUAUGUACAGUAACUUCUGUGUAAAAAAAAGUCCCAUAUGUGUAGAAUGUAAGUAAGUAAGAAAAAAAGAAAUAUUUUUGUCCUCUGACGACGGGUCAAUAAUAAAAUGUAAAAUUAAAGUCUUGUGGAGUUUCCAGGCUGUGUUUGUUGCUAUCGUAGUACAAUUCUCACGCCAGGUGUUUACGGUAGUGUUGCU